CAGAUCUCAUAAAUGAAUAGAUGGAUAAAUGAAUGAAGUAAUAAUUUGAAGAAAAAGUAUACAAACUAAGGUACUUCUAGAAAAACAGGAGCCAAGAAUAUUGAAAAUUAGUCAUAAAAAUUAGUAAGAAUUAAUGCAUUCUUCUAUACAAAUUCUAACCCAAAAUAAUUCGAAUGACUUAUUUGUUCUUGGAUAUCAUCUUCUACUUUUCCCUUUGGUCACAUAAUUCCAGCCACACUUGCCUUCUGGUGUUCCCUGACACAGCGUAUCCUCCCCUCAGCGUAUCCUUCACACUGGCUUUUCGUUCUGCCAUUUCUGAGUUGGGUGCUUGACCAACUCUUUCACUUCCUCUCAGUGUUUGCUCAAAUAUCACUUUCUCAGAGACCAACCCCGAACCUUCAUGGGAUUUAUUUCCCAACUUCUGGGGCACCAAGUGUGAACAUGGCCUCCAUCAUACUUGCUAUUUUGUGGUCAUUCACUGAUUGAAUUAAUGUUAUUAACAUAGUAGAGAGGAGGAUAAUUAACAUAGCCUUUGGGCAAGCAUAUGUGUGCUGUUAUCCUUUCCACAUAGAUACAAGCUGCUUUUGAUUUUUCUAGAGAGAGGAUGCGAGGAAUGUAUUGCUUAAUCAAUGGCUGCAUACCAUAUACAUGAGGCUGUAUUAACCUUCUCAAUGAAUAUGCUACAUCAGACACAACGUUAGAGUUAAAAUUAUUACUUGGUUGAGAUGAAUUAGUCUACUGUUGUUCAUUAGGUUUAAUAUGAGGAGACAGCAGGGGAAUAUUGGGAACCACCACUUUUCCAUUCUCAGUUUUUAUGGAGGCAUUAAUCUCUACUGUCUGCCCUAUAUGCAGUAUUUUGUAUUUAAUAUCUUAGCUAAAAUAAGGAGGCAGUUUCAUAGACCUUUGCUUGGCCUGCUUCACUAUUAUACCUUUUAUUUUAUUUAUAAGCCAAUAAGCCGAAGUAUGAGUUCUGCCAACUACCAGUAUUGUUUGUAUUAAUAUAUUCAAGGGCCAGAAAUAUAACCACCUACAACUGUGGAAGCAACAGACCCACUGUGAGCCAGAUUCCAUUUAUUAUCUGAUUCCUAAACACCUCUAAUUUGUUUUUAUUUAUUUUUGAGGCAGGGUGUUGAUCUGUCACCCAGGUUGGAGUGCAGCAGUGAGAUCAUGGCUCACUACAGCCUCAACUUCCUGGGCUCAAGUGAUCUUUCUGCCUAGGCUUCCCAAGUAGCUGAAACUACAGAUGUACAUUACCAUGCCUGGUGAAUUUUUUAAUUAUUUCUUGAGAUGAGAUCUUGCUGUGUUGCCCAGGCUAGUCUUGAACUCCUGGCCUCAGGUGAUCCUCCCACUUCUGCCUCCCAAAGUGCUGGGAUUACAGGUGUGAGCCACCACACUCAGCCAACACCCCCUAUUUGAAUAGCAAGUCACGAUGGAACUUUGAGUUCGUGGGUAUGAAUGUCAAAUUUGACCACAUGUUCAACUGUCCUAAAAGUGUUUGUGUGUUCCCCAUUUUAGCGUAUUGAGUCCCCUUUAUAAAUGGUCACAGGUCACACUGGGAAAGAACUAAGGAAAUCAUUGCAGUAUUAAUUUAUCAUAUUAUUCUGAGGGUCUCUUUCUCAAUGGAACACUGGGACCCAUUUUCUAUUUUUUACAAAGUUCAACUUUGAGAACUGGUUCAAUCAGAAAUUGGACAAUGAAUCUUUACAUUGCAGUCACCUAAAAAUCUGUUAUUUAUUUUUUGGUUCUACAAAUUGAGGAAUACCCUUGUUAUCAGUCCAUCAAUCUUAUUCUUAGAAGUGUCUAUACCUAUCGUCAUAGCUCUCUGUUAGCCAUGCCCCCUGACAGUCACUUAAACCUUUAGCUCAUUACAUUUCAAAGUUAAGCACGGCCACCUGGUCUCUAUUAUUUUUAGUUGUUGUAUCUCCCUUGCUUUCAGGAAGUCCAAUUCUGUAAUAGUACUUCCUACCCUGGGCUACCAUCAACCCUAGUCUACAGAGAAUUCCCAUCACUGAAAUUCUCAACAAUUCUGAUCCUCAUCUCGGUAGUGCAUUUCUUAUCACUUUGCUAAAUACAAUGUCCCCCAGGCCUUCCUUUGGGACAGGGUUUUCUGUCUUACAUAGUAUAUCCAGCUGAAUAUAUUCCAUAUAUUGAUGCUUUUGAUCCCUUCAUCCGCCAUUUAUUACGUCAGUUCCAGCAUUUUCUCUUCACAGUCUGGGGCUGUUACUUCCUAUAAGCUUCCAAGUGUCCAACUAGCCACUCAUUAGCAUCCUGUACUUGGGGCCUUGCCUAUGUCACAGGAUAAUUCUCCUAUAUUAAUAAAUACUCACUAAUCGAAUUUCUCAUUACAUCUUGCUUGAUCUUAAACAUUCCAAAUAUAAUUUCAUAUAUUCUGUACAAUUGAUGCUGAGCCAUGUUGGCUAUACAUUACCAUUAUUGUGUGAACUACUAUGAGUUCAUGGAUUUGUUUUUCAGUCACACACUUCCUGGGCUACAUUUCCUUCCACUUUUACCCCAUUGCAAAGAACUACCAGUGAAAUUUUAGCAAUUGUAUGACCUUAACCAAUGAGGGGCUAUAAGUUCUUUACUUGACCCUAGAGAAGUAUUUGACAUUUUAAUCCAGCUGACAGGUCAUCCAGUUCCAAAAUCAAUUUCCUGUAAGGGAUUUUGAUAACUGCUUUAGGUCAAUUUUCCUAGACAGUAACCCUGUGAUGGCUAUUUCCACAUAAGAAUACUGUUUCACUAAGUGGUCAAGCUGUGCCACAAGAUAGAAUAUAUCUCAAGUGUUGCCAAGAUGGAAAGACAGAUAUUGUACCAUCCAGGAAAUAUACUAGUUCAUGAUUCAAGCUUGCUAAGAGCAAACAACACUUAACACCAGGCUCAACAUUUACAUACAGCAAGUGUAGAGAGUGAGUGCAUAAGACCCAGUCCUUUGUAGUGUGUGGAUUCCCCAUGACUGGUGUAUCCAUAGAGCAGCCAUCAUGGAAUAGUGUGGCUGCACCCAUCCAACUUAGUACUCCAGUAGGGGCUCUGACACAUGCAUAGCUAAACAGUUUCAAGAGAAGUUUACAUGCGUCUUAUACAGAGAGAACAGGGACCAACUGGUGAUGCUUUUAGUUCUUUGCAUACAAUGAGAUUUGUGAGUUUGUCAGAAUGUCUUGUACUGAGCACAUGGUUCUUCUUGGGAACAUAAAGGACACAUUAGGCUGCACUUGGAUCUUUCCCUCACUGUUUACCCCUGACUCUCAUGUGUCCUGCAAAAGUAGACCUUAUGCAUCACUUACAUAGACCUGUCAACCAUUAGAUGAUUAGCCAUAGCUGUGUCCCUUUGUCCCAGUACUGCUUGUAUUAUCUGUGAUACCUAUAAGAACUCAUGGAGAUCCUGUCAAUUGAAGCAGCACUGAUAAGGUCCAGGAGGCAGCCCACUCCAGAAUGAUAAUCAAGACUGCUUGGAGAAGAGUCUACAACUUUCACCCUACAUGCCCAAAUUCAGCCAGUUGACAAGGUCAAGUAUUAACUAUAAUGGAGAGAGGAAGAAAGUGACAUUCUUGGGCAUGGAUCAAU
rnacentral:lncRNA from 1 species